UACGGGAGGGUGCAAGCGUUAUCCGGAUUUACUGGGUUUAAAGGGUGCGCAGGCGGAUAUGUAAGUCAGUGGUGAAAUCUCCGGGCUUAACCUGGAAAUUGCCGUUGAUACUAUAUAUCUUGAAUGCUGUGGAGGUAAGCAGAAUAUGUCAUGUAGCGGUGAAAUGCUUAGAUAUGACAUAGAAUACCUAUUGCGAAGGCAGCUUACUACGCAGAUAUUGACGCUCAUGCACGAAAGCGUGGGGAUCAAACAGG
rnacentral:rRNA from 1 species